rnacentral:rRNA from 1 species
UGGAGGAAAGUAGGGGAUCGCAAGACCUUGUGCUUUUGGAGCGGCCGAUGCCUGAUUAGCUAGUUGGUAAGGUAAAGGCUUACCAAGGCUUCGAUCAGUAGUUGGUCUGAGAGGACGACCAGCCACACUGGGACUGAGACACGGCCCAGACUCCUACGGGAGGCAGCAGUGGGGAAUUUUGGACAAUGGGGGAAACCCUGAUCCAGCCAUGCCGCGUGAGUGAAGAAGGCCUUCGGGUUGUAAAGCUCUUUCAGUUGAGAAGAAAAGAUUACGACUAAUAAUCGUGAUUCAUGACGGUAUCAACAGAAGAAGCACCGGCUAACUACGUGCCAGCAGCCGCGGUAAUACGUAGGGUGCAAGCGUUAAUCGGAAUUACUGGGCGUAAAGGGUGCGCAGGCGGUCUUGUAAGUCAGAUGUGAAAUCCCCGGGCUUAACCUGGGAACUGCGUUUGAAACUACAAAGCUAG